UGGGGGAAAGGGGCGGUUGGAAGCCAGGGUGGGGUUGGGGGAGGCAAAUGGGCGUGAAGAACGUGUUUUCCUUAAGACCAAGUAAGGACAGAAAGCUCCAACCUGUUGACCAGGUGGAGGAGGGCUCCCCAGAGUUGCCCAGACCCCGCUUGGAAACCAUGGAAAGGGCGCUGACGUACCAGUGGUAACACUGGUUCCACAGAGUAAAUGACACACAGAAGCCAGCUGCCCUGCAUCUUGUAGGGCCGGGUAUUCAGAGCCCUUAAGUCCUCAGAUCCAACCUGAGUGGGAUUCACCCCAGAUCAGCGACUUGAAGUGGGCCCUACUCCUGAUGCCACCAGCUUUGCAUCUCCCUGGGGGGACUCCUGCUCUGCAUAAACGAAACAGCCUGGGCAUCCUGCUUGCAAUUCCAUGUUUUGCUAUGCCCCUCCCUUUGAAUAUAUAAAAGAUGGAGUGGAAUUUCCGUCAUUAGGUUAUAAAACAACCUGAGUUCAUCUUGCUGGACUCUUGCACUACAAAUAAGAAAAACCCAAGCUGGAAAAUACAAUCUGAAAGGAAGGAAUCAUAAAAACAUACCAUGUUCUGGGUUUUAAACCAUAAUAAAAUGUGAGAGAUAAGAUAAUAAAA